rnacentral:rRNA from 1 species
GAGUUUGAUCAUGGCUCAGGACAAACGCUGGCGGCGUGUAUUAGGCAUGCAAGUCGCACGGACCUUCGGGUCAGUGGCGGACGGGUGAGUAACACGUGGGUAACCUGCCUCGGAGUGGGGAAUAACUCGCCGAAAGGCGAGCUAAUACCGCAUACCACUCUCGGUGAGAAGCCGAGCAGUAAAAGCAGUAAUGCGCUCUGAGAGGGGCCCGCGGCCGAUUAGCUUGUUGGUGGGGUAAUGGCCUACCAAGGCGACGAUCGGUAGCUGGUCUGAGAGGAUGGUCAGCCACACGGGGACUGAGAUACGGCCCCGACUCCUACGGGAGGCAGCAGCUAAGAAUCUUGCGCAAUGGGCGAAAGCCUGACGCAGCAACGCCGCGUGAAGGACGAAGGCCCUCGGGUUGUAAACUUCUUUUGCGAGGGAAGAAGAUCUGACGGUACCUCGCGAAUAAGCCACGGCUAACUACGUGCCAGCCGCCGCCGUAAG